GCACCGAUAGUUCAAUUGGAUAGAACAAGGGCCUCCUAAGCCUUAGAUGGAUAUGGGUUCAAAUCCCCCUCGGUGCGCCA
rnacentral:tRNA from 1 species